GCUGAGACCCCCUCCCCCUCUUCCUCCUCAUCAGUCGUGGUCUCCAGAGCCCAGGGACGUGACGUGUUGCUUGAUUGGUGGUUGAGCUCAUACUAUGUAGGAAUGUGGAGUGGGGAGCAGAGAGAUCUGUUCUCUGGGGAGGAGGAGAGAUGACCUGAGAGAUAAGACACAGAGGGGAUGACUGAGGACCUCUCUGAAGACACUUAUACAGACGUCCUUAACUCAAACGUCCUCAGGGUAGGGACGGAGGACUGUGUCCACAUGAAGACAUAAUGAGGCCAUUCUACGAGUCUGACGAAAUCACACAUGAGUGAAUGUUCCAAAGUUUCUUGGCCUCCUCACAAAACAGGUUUUAUUUCUGACCUUGUCCCAUGCGGGCUCCGGUCAGAGCCUCCUUGGCGCUUCCAAAGCCGAGCUCCCUGCAGACG